ACUGGUUUUGCAUACAAAGCCCCACAUAAGGGAAGUCACUGAAAUUUAAAGGAAUGAGGGGCUGCAAGUUUUCAAACCAGAGAAGAGCUGCCCUACCCUGCACCAUGUCCUGGGCAAUCCCCCUCCUCACUCUGAUCUCUCUGUGCACUUGUUGUGCCGGACAGUAUGUGCUGACCCAGCCUGCAUCUGUGAGUGUCAGUGUGGGGGGCACAGUGACACUAACUUGUGAAGGGAACAAUAUUGGCAGCAAGAGUGUGCACUGGUAUCAACAAAUGCUGCCCAGUGCCCCCCGGCUCAUUAUAUACAGCGACAAGAAUAGACCCGAUGGGAUCCCAGAACGAUUUUCUGGCACAAACUCUGGUAACACUGCAAGUUUAGAGAUCUCUGGAGCCCAAGCAGGGGAUGAGGCUGAUUAUUACUGUCAGGUGUGGGAUAGCGAUGCUGCACAGUGAUACAGACACAGGGGGAAGUGAGACCAAAUCCUUCCUCUGAGUGUAAUGUACAGAAAAAAAUCACACACU